AUGGUCAACACCAAAAUCAGAUUGAUUAUAUUCUUUGCAGCCAAAGAUGGAGAAGCUCUAUACAGUCAGCAAAAACAAGACCGGGAGCUGACUGUGGCUCAGAUCAUAAACUCCUUAUUCAAAGUCUCCAAAUUCAGACUUAAAUUGAAGAAAGUAGGGAAAACCACUAGACCAUUCAGGUAUGACCUAAAUCAAAUCCCUUAUGAUUAUACAGUGGAAGUGAGAAAUAGAUUUAAGGGCCUAGAUCUGAUAGAUAGAGUGCCUGAUGAACUAUGGACAGAGGUUCGUGACAUUGUACAGGAGACAGGGAUCAAGACCAUGCCCAUGGAAAAGAAAUGCAAAAAAGCAAAAUGGCUAUCUGGGGAGGCCUUACAAAUAGCUGUGAAAAGAAGAGAAGUGAAAAGCAAAGGAGAAAAGGAAAGAUAUAAACAUCUGAAUGCAGAGUUCCAAAGAAAAGCAAGGAGAGGCAAGAAAGCCUUCCUCAGCGAUCAAUGCAAAGAAAUAGAGGAAAACAACAGAAUGGGAAAGACUAGAGAUCUCUUCAAGAAAAUUAGAGAUACCAAGGGAACAUUUCAUGCAAAGAUGGGCUCGAUAAAGGACAAAAAUGGUAUGGACCUAAGAGUAGCAGAAGAUAUUAAGAAGAGGUGGCAAGAAUACACAGAACUGUACAAAAAAGACCUUCAUGACCAAGAUAAUCACAGUGGUGUGAUCACUCACCUAGAGCCAGACAUCCUGGAAUGUGAAGUCAAAUGGGCCUUAGAAAGCAUCACUACGAACAAAGCUGGAGGUGAUGGAAUUCCAGUUGAGCUACUCCAAAUCCUGGAAGAUGAUGCUGUGAAAGUGCUGCACUCAAUAUGCCAGCAAAUUUGGAAAACUCAGCAGUGGCCACAGGACUGGAAAAGGUCAGUUUUCAUUCCAAUCCCAAAGAAAGGCAAUGCCAAAGAAUGCUCAGACUACCGCACAAUUGCACUCAUCUCACACGCUAGUAAAGUAAUGCUCAAAAUUCUCCAAGCCAGGCUUCAGCAAUGCAUGAACCGUGAACUUCCAGAUGUUCAAGCUGGUUUUAGAAAAGGCAGAGGAACCAGAGAUCAAAUUGCCAACAUCCGCUGGAUCAUCGAAAAAGCAAGAGAGUUCCAGUAA
rnacentral:lncRNA from 1 species